rnacentral:rRNA from 1 species
CAGCAGCCGCGGGAAUACGGAGGAUCCAAGCGUUAUCCGGAAUCAUUGGGUUUAAAGGGUCCGUAGGCGGUCUUGUAAGUCAGUGGUGAAAGCCCAACGCUCAACGGUGGAACGGCCAUUGAUACUGCAGGACUUGAAUUAUUGGGAAGUAACUAGAAUAUGUAGUGUAGCGGUGAAAUGCUUAGAGAUUACAUGGAAUACCAAUUGCGAAGGCAGGUUACUACCAAUUGAUUGACGCUGAUGGACGAAAGCGUGGGUAGCGAACAGGAUUAGAUACCCGGGUAGUCCCUGUCUCUUAUAU